UACAGAGGGGGCAAGCGUUGUUCGGAAUUACUGGGCGUAAAGGGCGCGUAGGCGGCCUUCUAAGUCGAACGUGAAAUCCCCGGGCUCAACCCGGGAACUGCGUCCGAUACUGGAAGGCUUGAAUCCGGGAGAGGGAUGUGGAAUUCCAGGUGUAGCGGUGGAAUGCGUAGAGAUCCGGAAGAACACCGGUGGCGAAGGCGGUCUGCUGGGCAGUUGCUGACACUGAGGCGCGACAGCGUGGGGAGCAAACAGG
rnacentral:rRNA from 1 species